rnacentral:rRNA from 1 species
ACUCCUACGGGAGGCAGCAGUGAGGAAUAUUGGACAAAUGGGCGGGAGCCUGAUCCAGCCAUGCCGCGUGCAGGAAGACUGCCCUAUGGGUUGUAAAACUGCUUUUGUACAGGAAGAAACACUCCCUCGUGAGGGAGCUUGACGGUACUGUAAGAAUAAGGAUCGGCUAACUCCGUGCCAGCAGCCGCGGUAAUACGGAGGAUCCAAGCGUUAUCCGGAAUCAUUGGGUUUAAAGGGUCCGUAGGUGGAUGAUUAAGUCAGAGGUGAAAUCCUGCAGCUCAACUGUAGAAUUGCCUUUUGAUACUGGUUGUCUUGAAUUAUUGUGAAGUAGUUAGAAUAUGUGGUGUAGCGGUGAAAAUGCAUAGAUAUCACAUAGAAUACCGAUUGCGAAGGCAGAUUACUAACAAAUACAUUGACACUGAUGGACGAAAGCGUGGGGAGCGAACAGAUUAGAUACCCUGGUAGGUGA